rnacentral:rRNA from 1 species
GUGAGGAAUAUUGGUCAAUGGGCGGAAGCCUGAACCAGCCAUCCCGCGUGGAGGAAGACGGCCCUAUGGGUUGUAAACUUCUUUUCAAGGGGAAGAAAGUUCGCGACGUGUCGCGAUUUGCCGGUACCUUUGGAAUAAGCAUCGGCUAACUCCGUGCCAGCAGCCGCGGUAAUACGGAGGAUGCGAGCGUUAUCCGUAUUUAUUGGGUUUAAAGGGUGCGUAGGCCGAUCGAUAAGUCAGCGGUGAAAUACCAUGGCCCAACCAUGGAACUGCCGUUGAUACUGUCGGUCUUGAAUAUGGUCAAGGUAGGCGGAAUGUGUAAUGUAGCGGUGAAAUGCUUAGAUAUUACACAGAACACCGAUUGCGAAGGCAGCUUACUGGUCCAUUAUUGACGCUGAGGCACGAAAGCGUGGGGAUCGAACAGGAUUAGAAACCCGUGUAGUCC